rnacentral:lncRNA from 1 species
AAAGGUGAUUUACAUAAAGGAGUUAUACAGUUUAGAAACUUAUUUAAAUAAAAGGUAAAUUGAAUUGGUGGUUCAAUCAUGAUUUUACGUUCAUAUGGGUUUUACAACCGAAAAAAAGAACGUAUUUGUUGGAAGUUAGAGGUUAAACAACUGAAAAAUUGACUAUUCAAUGUUUUGAAAAGAAUCUAACCAUGCCUCAUGAAUAUCCAUAAGCUCCAGUGACGUUGCAUAGGGG